GCCCCGGUAGCUCAGCCCGGUCGGAGCGCCCUGGGGUAACGCCCCGCGUAUGCCUUGUAGCUGUUGGCAAGACAGCGGGAGGUCCCGGGUUCGAAUCCCGGCCGGGGCU
rnacentral:tRNA from 1 species